UUUAUAAGGUUAAGUUUGAAGUCAUAGAAAAGGAUAAAGAUACAUGUAUUACAAAAGCAACAAUUGAAUAUGAAGUUAAGGAAGAAGCAAUAGCUAAUGUCUCAUUUGUUAGUAUCCAACCCUUUGUGGAUAUAAUGAAUUUGGUUGCAAAGUGUGUAACUCAAGGCACCAAUAGUCAAUCUUCUGCCUGAUGCUUUCGUCUGUUCAGAGGCGGAUCCAGGAUUCAAAACGCUAUGAUGAAUAUAUGAGUGUGAUCUUAUUUCAUGUAUGGUUUUAAGUUUUUUUUUGCAUAUGUGUACUUAGUCCGAGCCAAAAGGAAUGAAUUUGGUUGCAAAGUGUGUAACUUAGGGCAACUAUAGUCAAUCGUCUGCCUGAUGUUUUCGUCUGUUCAGAGGCGGAUCCAGGAUUCGAAACGCUAUGAUAAACGUGAGUGUGAUCUUAUUUUAUAUAUGGUUUUAAGUUUCUUUCUUUUUCUUUUUGUGUUUAGUUGAACCCACGAAACUUGUCCUUGAUUACUAGAGUGUCAAUGGUUCAAGCUUUGUUUGUAAUUUCUUUGGUUCUGGUAAUUGUUUGGCUUAUUUCAUCAUUUCAAUGAAACAGAAUUUGGCAGCAAAGAUAUUAGGUUAACUUUGUUAAAUAUUGAUGCUACUAUGAUUUCUACUAUUUAG
rnacentral:lncRNA from 1 species